GUGGGGAAUAUUGGGCAAUGGGCGAAAGCCUGACCCAGCAACGCCGCGUGAAGGAAGAAGGUUUUCGGAUCGUAAACUUCUAUCCUUGGUGAAGAUAAUGACGGUAGCCGAGAAGGAAGCCCCGGCUAACUACGUGCCAGCAGCCGCGGUAAUACGUAGGGGGCAAGCGUUGUCCGGAAUGAUUGGGCGUAAAGGGCGCGUAGGCGGCCUGGUAAGUCUGGAGUGAAAGUCCGGCUUUUAAGGUGGGAAUUGCUUUGGAUACUGUCGGGCUUGAGUGCAGAAGAGGUAAGUGGAAUUCCCGGUGUAGCGGUGAAAUGCGUAGAGAUCGGGAGGAACACCAGUGGCGAAGGCGACUUACUGGACUGUAACUGACGCUGAGGCGCGAAAGUGUGGGGAGCAAACAGGAUUAGAAACCCGUGUAGUCC
rnacentral:rRNA from 1 species